GGGCGAUUUUCCUGUUUGGAAAAUACUGGCACUUCACAAUAUGCAACGCAUAAACACUGUCAGUAUUAAGUGGGGUUUUGUUGUGCUUAUUUAAAAUGCUGGUUUCCUCCAGGGCCUCAUGAACUCCCUUAUCAUCCUCCACUGCUUUUCUCUAUGCCCUUUGCCAGCCCUCUUUUCUGGGGCAUGUAUCUAGAUCCCAAUAAAUGGUUGCGAUUCUACCUAGUUUGUUCUGAAAAUAGAUUAGUAGAGUUUCAAUGUUAUAAUGGAACUACAUAAAAUAAUUAUUUAUUACAAAAACUUCAAAAUCUUUUUUUUUUUUUGUUAUACCAGAAUCCACACAGAUGUAAGAAUCUUCAGUAUCUGGCGUAGUUGGGCAAAGAAAUUAGAAUUACUCUUCUUUUUAGUGUUAAAAUAUUGAUUUCAUACCUUUUUUCUGCUUGUAAUAUCUUUUGUUUGAAACUGAACUGAGGUAGAAA
rnacentral:lncRNA from 1 species